CCCUUAGAUGUCCUGGGCCGCACGCGCGUUACACUGAUGCAUUCAACGAGCUUAUAACCUUGGCCGAGAGGCCUGGGCAAUCUUGUUAACGUGCAUCGUGAUAGGGAUAGAUUAUUUAAAUUAUUAAUCUUGAACGAGGAAUUCCUAGUAAACGCAGAUCAUCAAUCUGCAUUGAUUACGUCCCUGCCCUUUGUACACACCGCCCGUCGCACCUACCGAUUGGAUGGUCCGGUGAAGCCUCGGGAUUGUGGUUCUUGCCGCUUUAUUGUGGCGUGACCGCGAGAACUUGUCUAAACCUUAUCAUCUAGAGGAAGGUGAAGUCGUAACA
rnacentral:rRNA from 1 species